CGUAUUGUUUACUGCGCAACAGCAACAAUGGCUUUGUUCGGCUGCCUAAUUCCUAUGAAGAAUUACCAGGAGCUGUGAUUAAUGGCAGUGAAUUCUGUAAGAAGCACUUUCCCAAGUACCCUGCUGUUCAGUAUGUGAAGUGGGAUUCUGACCUUUCUAAAUGCAAGUAUCGCUGUAAAUUACGCCUCAAUAGUAACGGAGAUCCACAAUAUGCCAUAAGAUUUGCAUUGGAUGGAACUCCUUGCAACAGGUCGAAGCCCGGAAUGAUAUGCAAGAACGCUGUGUGCAUGUGAGGAAGCAAAAGUGUUUAUCCCGAGAAGACACGACUUCUUCUUCGUUCUUUUACAACAGGUCAA
rnacentral:lncRNA from 1 species